AUACGGAGGGGGUUAGCGUUGUUCGGAAUUAUUGGGCGUAAAGCGCACGUAGGCGGACUGGAAAGUUGGGGGUGAAAUCCCGGGGCUCAACCCCGGAACUGCCUCCAAAACUUCCAAUCUAGAGAUCGAGAGAGGUGAGUGGAAUUCCAAGUGUAGAGGUGAAAUUCGUAGAUAUUUGGAGGAACACCAGUGGCGAAGGCGGCUCACUGGCUCGAUACUGACGCUGAGGUGCGAAAGCGUGGGGAGCAAACAGGAUUAGAAACCCCAGUAGUCC
rnacentral:rRNA from 1 species